rfam:Trichobilharzia regenti genome assembly, scaffold: TRE_scaffold0054134
AUCCCGAUGACGAGUCCCAAAAAGGACGAAAUGCGCAUCCUGAUGGAU